rnacentral:rRNA from 1 species
UUGUGUGAAGAAGGCCUUUUGGUUGUAAAGCACUUUAAGCGAGGAGGAGGCUACCUAGAUUAAUACUCUGGGAUAGUGGACGUUACUCGCAGAAUAAGCACCGGCUAACUCUGUGCCAGCAGCCGCGGUAAUACAGAGGGUGCGAGCGUUAAUCGGAUUUACUGGGCGUAAAGCGUGCGUAGGCGGCUGAUUAAGUCGGAUGUGAAAUCCCUGAGCUUAACUUAGGAAUUGCAUUCGAUACUGGUCAGCUAGAGUAUGGGAGAGGAUGGUAGAAUUCCAGGUGUAGCGGUGAAAUGCGUAGAGAUCUGGAGGAAUACCGAUGGCGAAGGCAGCCAUCUGGCCUAAUACUGACGCUGAGGUACGAAAGCAUGGGGAGCAAACAGGAUUAGAUACCCUGGUAGUCCAUGCCGUAAACGAUGUCUACUAGCCGUUGGGGUCUUUGAGGCUUUAGUGGCGCAGCUAACGCGAUAAGUAGACCGCCUGGGGAGUACGGUCGCAAGACUAAAACUCAAAUGAAUUGACGGAUACC